UACGGGGGGGGCAAGCGUUGUUCGGAAUUACUGGGCGUAAAGGGCUCGUAGGCGGCCAACUAAGUCAGACGUGAAAUCCCUCAGCUUAACUGGGGAACUGCGUCUGAUACUGGAUGGCUCGAGUGCAGGAGAGGAACGCGGAAUUCCAGGUGUAGCGGUGAAAUGCGUAGAUAUCUGGAGGAACACCGGUGGCGAAGGCGGCGUUCUGGACUGCAACUGACACUGAGGAACGAAAGCCAGGGGAGCAAACGGG
rnacentral:rRNA from 1 species